GACGUAGGGCGCGAGCGUUGUCCGGAUUUAUUGGGCGUAAAGAGCGUGUAGGCGGCCUGAAAGGUCAGCUGUGAAAACUCGAGGCUCAACCUCGAGACGUCGGUUGAAACCAUCUGGCUAGAGUCCGGAAGAGGAGUGUGGAAUUCCCGGUGUAGCGGUGAAAUGCGCAGAUAUCGGGAAGAACACCCGUGGCGAAGGCGGCACUCUGGGACGGUACUGACGCUGAGACGCGAAAGCGUGGGGAGCGAACAGG
rnacentral:rRNA from 1 species